GGCCUCAUGGUGUAACGGUAACACAUCUUCAGUUGAUAGCUGAUUUAUCGGUUUGUAUUUGAGGAAGUCCCUUGUUCGAAUCAAGGUGAGGCCA